rnacentral:rRNA from 1 species
AUUGAACGCUGGCGGCAGGCCUAACACAUGCAAGUCGAGCGGAGCGGCGUACGGGUGAGUAAUGCCUCGGACUCUGCCUGGUAGUGGGGGAUAACGUCCGGAAACGGGCGCUAAUACCGCAUACUAUCAGAUGAGCCUAGGUCGGAUUAUCUAGUUGGUGGGGUAAAGGCCUACCAAGGCGACGAUCCGUAACUGGUCUGAGAGGAUGAUCAGUCACACUAGAACUGAGACACGGUCCAGACUGCUACGGGAGGCAGCAGUGGGGAAUAUUGGACAAUGGGCGAAGGCCUGAUCCAGCCAGGCCGCGGGUGUGAAGAAGGUCUUCGGGUUGUAAAGCACUUUCAGCGGGGAGGCGUUACCCGCAGAAGAAGCACCGGCUAACUCCGUGCCAGCAGCCGCGGUAAUUC